rnacentral:lncRNA from 1 species
AUGUUGAGAGUGGCAAGAGAAUAGGAAGAAAGCAGUCGAAAAGGAGAGUGGCUGAAGGGCAUAGCUGUGGCAAAGAGAGUCCACACUCCGAACCAACAAAUCUGUGCUAAGUAAACACCCAGAGAAACCCUGAGAAAACAAUGCAUUUUCCCUGCAAUUAAUCACUGCACGGAUCCCUUCCAGACUGGGCUGUAGGAACCCAAUCAUGGGAAUCCACCAGCCCACAAUAACCACUUAAUUACCUGUGACUGGAGGACAUCCUUCCCCAACCGAGCAUAGUUAGUCCAAGGAUUUAAGGCGGUGCAAUGUGGUGCUGGAGGAGAGCUUUCUGGAGACCCUGGCCUGCCAGAAAGAUGACCCUUCUACCAACACGGCCAAGGGAGACACAGCAAGAAAUGUUCAUGGCUCACACUUCUGUCAGGUCCAUAUUUUCCUCUCCUGCGGUAACACAGUCUUUGAGAAUGUAAGAGCAGUGAAUCCCAGGUGGUUUAAAUCCGCUUUUCCUCCUGCUGUUUGGCUACAAACAUUUCCUGUCUCUCAACGCAGGCCGCUCUUUAACCCUCGAAGCAAGGGAGUGGUACCGAUCCAGUUCAAUGGCCCUCACCACCCUUUUCCCAAAUAAAGGGUCUGGACUGGCAGGACUGAUACACAAACGUCUAGAGGGGAGACCCUUUCCAGCAUGGGGUUAAAACAUGUUUUGGCCAAGGAGCUGCGAGAGGUGCCAUUUUCAUGAACAAGGAAGAAGGUCCUUUUGCGCUUAACUCUUGAACAUCAAAGGGCAAUCAAAACGAAAUCUGUUGCAUUUUGAAUGUUUAAUGGGUUACUUUGUAAAUGUCACAGCCAAUAACAAACAUGGGUUGGAAAGUUGCUUUUAAAAAAAUACACACAGAGAGAAAGAUUAUUCCCUUGGCAAACACUGAUCGAUAUGGGCCCUAAAACCCAGGGAUGGAGAGAUCCCCCCCACUUUGAGCUUUUUAAAUGAGGUUUCUGAGGAGACAACCCAGAACUCCUUUUUAUUCUACCAGGGUGUUUCAUUGAAGUUU